rnacentral:rRNA from 1 species
CAAUCACUUGUCCUUUAAAUGAAGACCUGUAUGAAUGGCUAAACGAGGGCUUAGCUGUCUCCUCCCCCCGGUCAAUGAAAUUGAUCUCCCCGUGCAGAAGCGGGGAUACUUACAUAAGACGAGAAGACCCUAUGGAGCUUUAGACACUAGACAGCCCACGUUAAACUUCCCCCCAAAAGGGAAAAAACAUUGUGACUCCUGUCUCUCCUGUCUUCGGUUGGGGCGACCGCGGAGGAUAAAAGAGCCUCCAUGUGGACCGAGGUUACUAACCUCACAACUAAGAGCUGCAGCUCCAAGCAACAGAAAUUCUGACCAAAAUGAUCCGGCACAUGCCGAUUAACGGAACAAGUUACCCUAGGGAUAACAGCGCAAUCCUCUCCCAGAGUCCC